GAAAGUUAAUUAUUAAAAGUUUUUUUGGCUCAGCAGAGAACAUGUCCACAAAUAACCAACAAAAUGGUAUAGUGUAAUCAAAAAGACCACCAGCAGAGAACAUGAUAGAGUGCUUCAGCUCACAAGGAAGAGGCUCCAAAUAAUCUUCACAAGUGAUCACCUUCUUUUUGCCUCGUCAAUACAUGAAAGACCAAAGAAGCCUUGUGGCACAUCAACAGUUUCUGCAUGCUUGAGGAUUUGUUUAAAGAUCAAGGGGAUGGUGAUCUUGUAGGCCUCUUUCCUUCUUCUUGGCGGCUCUUAUCAUAAGACUGAAAAGAGGCACAUCGUCAUCUGAAUCUUUUUUAAUUUUAGAAUGUGAGAGACAAUAGCAAAUGCCCUCACUUGUGGUAGGUGGUGUGGGCACAGAUUCAGGAACAACAUCUAGUUCUUCUCUAAUUCAAUUUUAGCCUCAGCAUGGACUCUUGUAUUUGCUUCCUCUUCUACUUAUAUACUAGCCUCAAAUGCACCAAAGAA